AGCAGCCGCGGUAAUUCCAGCUCCAAUAGCGUAUAUUAAAGUUGUUGCAGUUAAAAAGCUCGUAGUUGAAUUUCGGGAUCAAUAUAACGGUCAUGCCGUUGGUAUGCACUGUUAUAAUUGAUUUCUCACCUUCUAAAGAACCGUAAUGCCAUUAAUUUGGUGUCACGGGGAAUUAGGACUGUUACCUUGAAAAAUUAGAGUGUUUAAAGCAGGCUCACGCUUGAAUACAUUAGCAUGGAAUAAUGAAAUAGGACAUCCGAUUCUAUUUUGUUGGUUUCUAGGAUCGAUGUAAUGAUUAAUAGGGAUAGUUGGGGGCAUUAGUAUUCAAUUGUCAGAGGUGAAAUUCUUGGAUUUAUUGAAGACUAACUACUGCGAAA
rnacentral:rRNA from 1 species